rnacentral:rRNA from 1 species
AUUGAACGCUGGCGGAAUGCUUUACACAUGCAAGUCGAACGGCAGCACGGACUUCGGUCUGGUGGCGAGUGGCGAACGGGUGAGUAAUAUAUCGGAACGUAUCCAAUAAUGGGGGAUAACUAGCCGAAAGAUUGGCUAAUACCGCAUACGCCCUACGGGGGAAAGCAGGGGAUCUUCGGACCUUGCGUUAAUGGAGCGGCCGAUAUCUGAUUAGCUAGUUGGUGGGGUAAAGGCCCACCAAGGCGACGAUCAGUAGCUGGUCUGCGAGGACGACCAGCCACACUGUAACGGAGACUCGGUCCAGACUCCUACGGGAGGCAGCAGUGGGGAAUUUUGGACAAUGGGCGCAAGCCUGAUCCAGCCAUUCCGCGUGAGUGAAGAAGGCCUUCGGGUUGUAAAGCUCUUUCGCAAGGGAAGAAAACUUAGCCACUAACAUUGGCUGAGGUUGACGGUACCUUGAUAAGAAGCACCGGCUAACUACGUGCCAGCCGCCGCCGUAA